GAGGGUUUUGGAGAGACAAAUCUUGGCAAUUAGGACGACACGGGUGGAAGGAACUCCUGACUGAGGAAUGUCGGUGUUGAAGGCUUGUGGAAAAUAAGAGAAAAGAGAUGGAGAGGAGAAGAAAAAGCAUGCAAAGAGGAUGACUCCCACAGGAGUAAAUAUCAGAUAAAUCAAGGGGAAAAGAGGACGUGUUAUAACAGGCCAGCCAAUGGCUUCCUAGAUGGCAGAGCUGGAGUCGAAUGAAGGCAGAGAUGAGGUCACCGGGUUUAGUAAUCAGGAAAUGAGUGGUGACCACUGAGUGAGCAAUUCAGCAGCAUGAAAUCAGACUACAUUUUGUUGAACGCCUGACUGCAGUGUGUUCAGAAGGGAACAGAGAGCUUCGAGGGUGAACGCCUGUUUUGAAAGGUCCGCCAGUAAAAUGGCGGUGGGAAGUGUGUGUCCUCUUGUUAAGAGGAGUCUGCCAGAUAGUAGAUAAUCAGUGUAACAGAGGACAAAGACCAAGUGGGUGAGUAGUGAUCCUGCCACAGGAGGGCAUCAAAGAGGCUAUCAGCUCACCAACUUCAGACCACAGACAAUCCUCAAAGAGAAACAGCCCCGAAUACUGAUGUCUUGUUAAGCUCAUCAUUCAACAGUGAGCCCAUAAAAUGAUUGUACUGAAAACCUGUGGAGCCACCGGACGGGCACCCUCCAAUGUUCUGUCAGAGAAAUGUACCACAUGCUUUCAGGUGGCCUUCAGACCACUGGGCAGCUGAGCUUCAUCAGGAGAGAUGCCUGAACUGCACCAGUACAGGAAGCCACUUGGGUAAUCUGCAAUUCUCCACUCAGUCGCUGCAUUUUUUGUUUUGCCUCGUCUCAACUCAGCCAGCCCACAUCUCAACAGCAAGCACUCGGAGUGAACCCAGCUCUGGGCAUGUCAGCCCUGUCUUCCACACAAUGCCUUGCUUCCGGUCCCGUUCCUAUGUCACCUUCUUGAUUUAGCUCCCCUUUAUCAGCCCCACUCCACUCCUCAUUACCUGGCCCUCGGGAGCAGCCAAUCCCAGCACCCAGGAUAACUGCACAGGCAGCUGCAGGCCUGUCCAGAGCUCCCAGUCCGCAGGCCCAGCCCAGAGCCAGGCCUGAGUGCGUCUCUCCCAGUGGGAAGCUGUAUAAACACACGUGGCCUAUGAGUGUGAACGUGAGAUGGCAGCUCUCCAUAUCACCGUCUCCCAAGGCCAGAGUUCUGUGAGUGCUGAACAAACACCAUGUACGUGAUCAAGGAGUUUUCUGAAGCAAAGCAAGCAGUAUGGCAUCGAUGCUGCUGGGAGAGCAACUAAAGCAGAAGAUGAGGCAAGGAGCUUGGGUGGGAGUUCUCAGACAAACCAACUAACAAGAUGAGCAUGGGGUAUUUAAGGAAUGCAGAGCAACAAUGAGAGCAAUGAGAACCGAGGAAGUCCCUGAAUAAUCAUGGUCAAAUGUUUAAAAUAAGGAAAAGGGGGGCACCUGGGUGGCUCAGUCAGUUAAGGGUCUGACUUUGGCUCAGGUCUUGCGGUUCGUGGGUUCGAGCCCCGCGU